rnacentral:rRNA from 1 species
UUUAACUGAGCGUUCAGUUACUUGACGUAGACCCGAAACCGGGCGACCUACCCAUGAGCAGGAUGAAGCGAAAGUAAAAUUUCGUGGAGGUCCGAACCCACGAGCGUUGAAAAGCUCGGGGAUGACUUGUGGGUAGCGGUGAAAUUCCAAUCGAGCCCGGAGAUAGCUGGUUCUCCCCGAAAUAGCUUUAGGGCUAGCCUCAAGGUGAGAGAUACGGAGGUAGAGCACUGAAUGUCCUAGGGGGUAUUGCACCUACCGAAGACUAUCAAACUCCGAAUGCCGUCAUCUUAUACUUGGGAGUCAGACUGUGGGUGAUAAGAUUCAUAGUCGAAAGGGCAACAGCCCAGAUCGUCAGCUAAGGUCCCUAAAUGUAAGUUAAGUGGUAAAGGAUGUGGGAUUGCACAGACAACCAGGAUGUUGGCUUAGAAGCAGCCACUCAUUCAAAGAGUGCGUAAUAGCUCACUGGUCGAGUGAUCCUGCGCCGAAGAUUUCCGGGGCUAAAACUUACUACCGAAGCUACGGCAUCAUUAUGAUGGGUAGGGGAGCUUCCCAUACGGGUUGAAGCAUGACCGUAAGGACAUGUGGACAGUAUGGGAGUGAGAAUGUUGGCAUGAGUAGCGAGAUGUGGGUGAGAAUCCCACAGGCCGUAAACCCAAGGUUUCCAGGGGAAGGUUCGUCCGCCCUGGGUUAGUCGGGACCUAAGCUGAGGCCGAAAGGCGUAGGUGAUGGACAACAGGUUGAUAUUCCUGUACUACCGAUAACCGUUUGAGAGAAGGGAUGACACAGUAGGAUAAGCUAAGCACACUGUUGGUUAUGUGUGCCCAAGCAUUGAGGCAGUCAAAGUAGGCAAAUCCGCUUUGAUAAUGCUGGGAUGUGAUGGGGAGCGAAAUUUAGUAGCGAAGUAGCUGAUUUCACACUGUCAAGAAAAGUCUCUAUCGAGGUUAAAGGUACCCGUACCGCAAACCGACACAGGUGGGUGAGGAGAGUAUCCUAAGGCCAGCGAGAGAACUGUUGUUAAGGAACUCGGCAAAAUGACCCCGUAACUUAGGGAUAAGGGGUGCCACCAUCAGGUGGCCGCAGAGAAUAGGCCCAAGCGACUGUUUACCAAAAACAUAGGUUUCUGCUAAGUCGCAAGACGAUGUAUAGGAGCUGACGC